UCAAGGAAGUAAGGGUAUAUGGUGGAUGCCCUGGCAUCAGAAGGCGAUGAAGGACGUGACUAACUGCGAUAAGCCACGGGAAGGAGUUAGUAUCCUUUGAUCCGUGGAUUUCCGAAUGGGGAAACCCUUCCAGAGUAAAGUCUGGAAAUCGUAUGCUGAAUACAUAGGCAUACGAAGCGAACCCGGUGAAGUGAAAUAUCUCAGUAGCCGGAGGAAGAGAAAUCAACAGAGAUUCCCUGAGUAGCGACGAGCGAACGGGGAAUAGCCCAAACCCAGCCUGCUUGCAGGAUGGGGGUUGUAGGACCACAUAAGUAGGACUGCUAUACAAUAGUCGAAUGAGCUGGAAAGCUAACCCAUAGAAGGUGAUAGGCCUGUAGGCGAAAUUGUAUAGUUACCGAAGUGGUAUCCUGAGUACCACGGGACACGAGAAAUCCUGUGGGAAUCUGGGGGGACCACCCUCCAAGGCUAAAUACUUGCUGAUGACCGAUAGUGAACCAGUACCGUGAGGGAAAGGUGAAAAGAACCCCUGUGAGGGGAGUGAAAUAGAACCUGAAACCGUAUACCUACAAUCAGUCAGAGUCUCGAUUCGUCGGGAUGAUGGCUUGCCUUUUGAUUAAUGAGCCGGCGAGUUACUGAAUGUAGCGAGGUUAAGGCCAUAACGGCUGGAGCCGAAGGGAAACCGAGUCCUAAUAGGGCGAUUUAGUUGCAUUUAGUAGACCCGAAACCAGGUGAGCUACCCAUGGUCAGGGUGAAGUGCCGAGAAGUCGGCAUGGAGGCCCGAACCGUUGUCAGUUGCAAAUGGCUCGGAUGAACUGUGGGUAGGGGUGAAAGGCUAAUCAAACCUGGUGAUAGCUGGUUCUCCCCGAAAUGUAUUGAGGUACAGCCUCAUGUAUGCCUUGAGGAGGUAGGGCACUGGAUGGGCUAGGGCCCUUUAUAGGGUACCAAACUCAACCAAACCACGAAUGCCUUUAGGUUUAGCAUGGGAGUGAGACUGCGGGUGCUAAGGUCCGUAGUCGAGAGGGAAACAGCCCAGAACGUCAGCUAAGGUCCCCAAGAUAGAGCUAAGUGGGAAAGGAUGUGAGAUUACCGAAACAGCCAGGAGGUUGGCUUAGAAGCAGCCACCCUUUAAAGAAAGCGUAAUAGCUCACUGGUCUAGUGAUUUCGCGCCGAAAAUUUAACGGGGCUUAAGCUCUACACCGAAGCUACGUCUUCGUUCCGAUUCGUCGGGAUGAGGGGUAGGGGAGCAUUCCAUUUUUCGCUGAAGUUCUGACGUGAGUCAGGAUGGAGAGUAUGGAAGAGACUAUGCCGGCAUAAGUAGCAGUAAAUCAAGUGAAAAACUUGAUCGCCGUAAGCCUAAGGUUUCCUGGGGAAGGAUAAUCCGCCCAGGGUUAGUCGGGCCUAAGUCGAGGCCGAAGGGAGUAGACGAUGGACAACUGGUUAAUAUUCCAGUACCAUCUAUGAUGCGUUUGACCUAUGUGGGGACGCAGGAGGAUAGGUUCAGCCGGGCGUUGGUUGUCCCGGUACAAGCCCGCAGGGUAGUGGUUAGGCAAAUCCGGCCACUGUUAGCCCGAAAGGUUACGUGGAUCUCGGGUAAUACCGAGAGAACUGGCUGAUUCCACGCUGCCGAGAAAAACCUCUAUGGAAGUAUCAUGGAUGACCGUACCGCAAACCGACACAGGUAGGUGGGUAGAAGAUACCAAGGCGAACGAGUGAUCCCUCGCAAAGGAACUCGGCAAAAUUGCCCCGUAACUUCGGGAGAAGGGGUGCUCCUAGCAAUAGGAGUUGCAAUAAAUAGACCCAAGCGACUGUUUAGCAAAAACACAGGAGUCUGCGAACUGGAAAACAGGAUGUAUAGACUCUGACGCCUGCCCGGUGCCGGAAGGUUAACAGGAGGGGUUAGUCCUCGGACGAAGCUCUGAAUCGAAGCCCCGGUAAACGGCGGCCGUAACUAUAACGGUCCUAAGGUAGCGAAAUUCCUUGUCGGGUAAGUUCCGACCUGCACGAAUGGCGUAACGACUUGGGUGCUGUCUCUGCGAGGGGCUCGGCGAACUUGAGGUACCGGUGAAGACGCCGGUUACCCGCGACAAGACGGAAAGACCCCGUGCACCUUUACUGCAACUUGACAGUGAAUUUUGGUGACACAUGUGUAGGAUAGGUGGGAGGCUUUGAAGCUUUGACGCAAGUCAGGGUGGAGCCAACCUUGAAAUACCACCCUUGUUUUAUUGAGGUUCUAACUCAUCCCCAUUAUCUGGGGAGAGGACACUGUCUGGUGGGUAGUUUGACUGGGGCGGUCGCCUCCAAAAAUGUAACGGAGGCGCCCAAAGGUUUGCUCAGGCUGGUCGGAAAUCAGCCGUCGAGUGCAAUGGCAUAAGCAAGCUUAACUGUGAGGCAAACGAGCCGAGCAGAUGGGAAACCAGGGCAUAGUGAUCCGGUGGUUCUGUGUGGAAGGGCCAUCGCUCAUCGGAUAAAAGGUACGCCGGGGAUAACAGGCUGAUAGCAUCCAAGAGUUCAUAUCGACGAUGCUGUUUGGCACCUCGAUGUCGGCUCAUCGCAUCCUGGGGCUGAAGUGGGUCCCAAGGGUUGGGCUGUUCGCCCAUUAAAGCGGUACGCGAGCUGGGUUCAGAACGUCGUGAGACAGUUCGGUCCCUAUCUGUCGUGGGCGCAGGAGACUUGAGAGGAGCUGUCCCUAGUACGAGAGGACCGGGAUGGACGAACCUCUGGUGUGUGGGUUGUUCUGCCAAGAGCAGCGCCCAGUAGCUAAGUUCGGACGGGAUAACCGCUGAAAGCAUCUAAGCGGGAAGCCCACCUCAAGAUUAGGUCUCCCUCACGCUUAAGCGUGACUGAAGAUCAGUGGUAGACUACCACAUUGAUAGGCUGGGUGUGUAAGUCCGGUGACGGAUUGAGCUAACCAGUACUAAUAGAUCGUGAGCCUUGACUCC
rnacentral:rRNA from 1 species